AUUGAACGCUGGCGGAAUGCUUUACACAUGCAAGUCGAGCGGCAGUGCGGGGCAACCUGGCGGCGAGCGGCGAACGGGUGAGUAAUGCAUCGGAACGUACCCCGUCGUGGGGGGAUAACUACCCCGAAAGGGUAGCUAAUACCGCAUACGACCUGAGGGUGAAAGCGGGGGACCGAAAGGCCUCGCGCGGAUGGGAGCGGCCGAUGCCGGAUUAGCUAGUUGGUAGGGUAAAGGCCUACCAAGGCGACGAUCCGUAGCUGGUCUGAGAGGACGACCAGCCACACUGGAACUGAGACACGGUCCAGACUCCUACGGGAGGCAGCAGUGGGGAAUUUUGGACAAUGGGCGAAAGCCUGAUCCAGCCAUUCCGCGUGAGUGAAGAAGGCCUCGGUUGUAA
rnacentral:rRNA from 1 species